rnacentral:rRNA from 1 species
AUUGAACGCUGGCGGCAGGCUUAACACAUGCAAGUCGAGCGGGGGAAGGUAGCUUGCUACUGGACCUAGCGGCGGACGGGUGAGUAAUGCUUAGGAAUCUGCCUAUUAGUGGGGGACAACAUCUCGAAAGGGAUGCUAAUACCGCAUACGUCCUACGGGAGAAAGCAGGGGAUCUUCGGACCUUGCGCUAAUAGAUGAGCCUAAGUCGGAUUAGCUAGUUGGUGGGGUAAAGGCCUACCAAGGCGACGAUCUGUAGCGGGUCUGAGAGGAUGAUCCGCCACACUGGGACUGAGACACGGCCCAGACUCCUACGGGAGGCAGCAGUGGGGAAUAUUGGACAAUGGGGGGAACCCUGAUCCAGCCAUGCCGCGUGUGUGAAGAAGGCCUUAUGGUUGUAAAGCACUUUAAGCGAGGAGGAGGCUACUUUAGUUAAUACCUAGAGAUAGUGGACGUUACUCGCAGAAUAAGCACCGGCUAACUCUGUGCCAGCCGCCGCCGUAAGAC